UAAAGAUCUUAACCAAUGUGUUAGUCUGUUGAAAGCUGUGAAUGGAUUGGUUGAGAGUGUGAGGUGCUUAAGUGCAACUGGCACAUUCUGUGAAUACGGACACUGAUUCAGCACUUGAUGACAGAGACGACAUCAGAUUGAGACAGUUGCAUGAUGUUAACCAGUCUGGGUGGACAACAAAAGACCCUCUGAAGCUCCUCAGGCUCUUCUCCACCUCGAUACAGAUCAACUCCCCUGACUGUGCAAAGUUUCAUCAGCAGCCGCUCCCUGAGCAGAUGACUCAACGCUGUGCACAUUGCAAGAAUGCUCAGAUAUCUUGGUUAUCUUUAUCAUAAUGUGUAAAAAGUUAUAAUUUUGGCUGUUGCAUAACACUUUUGGGAGCUGCGAUUUUGCGUAAUUAGUAUCAUAUUUCUAAUUAAAAGUAGAAUCUAUUGUCAGUUUUAUUAAAUUAAAAAAGGUCUAUUUUU